AGCCUGGGAAACAGAGAAAGACUCUGUCAAAAAAAAAAAAAAAAAAAAAAUACUUAACCCAAUCAGACUUUGAUUAGGGUCACAGACCAAAUAAGUUACAGUUAUUUUUAUUUCUGCUCAUUUUUGUCCAGUAGGCCUCACAUAUUUUUGAUGAAUUUCUGGGUGGUAGAAUAUUCCUUAGAACACUGACCAUAUCCACUUCUACUUUCCAGCUGUUACCUAAACAACAAACUAGACACACUUCACUGCAAACAGUGGGAAGAAUGGUGUUACCUUUGAUGAAACAUCCAUGGAACAUUUGCAUUUCAUGAGCAGCUUUAUGGUGAGAAAUUGAAACCUCCUGCCAACAGCCAUGUGAGUGAGCUUGGAAGCAGAUUCUCCAGCUCUUCAAAUAAUGGCAGCCCCAGAAAACAACUUAAAUGCAACCUCCUGAGAGUCUCUGAGCUAGAACUACCUAG
rnacentral:lncRNA from 1 species